rnacentral:rRNA from 1 species
UACGUAGGGACCAAGCGUUGUUCGGAUUUACUGGGCGUAAAGGGCGCGUAGGCGGCAAUUCAAGUCAUCUGUGAAAUCUCCGGGCUUAACUCGGAACGGUCAGAUGAUACUGCUUUGCUAGAGUGCGGAAGGGGCAAUCGGAAUUCUCGGUGUAGCGGUGAAAUGCGUAGAUAUCGAGAGGAACACCAGAGGUGAAGACGGGUUGCUGGGCCGACACUGACGCUGAGUGCGCGAAAGCCAGGGGAGCAAACGGG